AUUGAACGCUGGCGGCAUGCUUUACACAUGCAAGUCGAACGGUAACAGGUUAAGCUGACGAGUGGCGAACGGGUGAGUAAUGCAUCGGAACGUGCCCGAUCGUGGGGGAUAACGCAGCGAAAGCUGCGCUAAUACCGCAUACGAUCUGAGGAUGAAAGCGGGGGACCGUAAGGCCUCGCGCGAUCGGAGCGGCCGAUAUCAGAUUAGGUAGUUGGUGGGGUAAAGGCCCACCAAGCCAACGAUCUGUAGCUGGUCUGAGAGGACGACCAGCCACACUGGGACUGAGACACGGCCCAGACUCCUACGGGGGGCAGCAGUGGGGAAUUUUGGACAAUGGGGGCAACCCUGAUCCAGCAAUGCCGCGUGCAGGAAGAAGGCCUUCGGGUUGUAAACUGCUUUUGUACGGAACGAAAAGGCUCUGGUUAAUACCUGGGGCUCAUGACGGUACCGUAAGAAUAAGCACCGGCUAACUACGUGCCAGCAGCCGCCGUAA
rnacentral:rRNA from 1 species